rnacentral:rRNA from 1 species
CAGUAGCCGCGGGAAUACGAAGGGGGCUAGCGUUGUUCGGAUUUACUGGGCGUAAAGCGCACGUAGGCGGAUCGAUCAGUCAGGGGUGUAAUCCCAGAGCUCAACUCUGGAACUGCCUUUGAUACUGUCGAUCUGGAGUAUGGAAGAGGUGAGUGGAAUUCCGAGUGUAGAGGUGAAAUUCGUAGAUAUUCGGAAGAACACCAGUGGCGAAGGCGGCUCACUGGACGACUGUUGACGCUGAGGUGCGAAAGCGUGGGGAGCAAACAGGAUUAGAUACCCCGGUAGUCCCUGUCUCUUAUAC